AGCGAACGCUGGCGGCGGGCUUAACACAUGCAAGUCGAGCGGGCACUUUCGGGUGUCAGCGGCGGACGGGUGAGUAACGCGUGGGAACGUGCCCUCUGGUUCGGAAUAACUCAGGGAAACUUGAGCUAAUACCGGAUACGCCCUUUUGGGGAAAGGCUUGCUGCCGGAGGAUCGGCCCGCGUCUGAUUAGCUAGUUGGUGAGGUAACGGCUCACCAAGGCGACGAUCAGUAGCUGGUCUGAGAGGAUGAUCAGCCACACUGGGACUGAGACACGGCCCAGACUCCUACGGGAGGCAGCAGUGGGGAAUAUUGGACAAUGGGCGCAAGCCUGAUCCAGCCAUGCCGCGUGAGUGAUCAAGGCCUUAGGGUUGUAAAGCUCUUUUAUCCGGGACGAUAAUGACGGUACCGGAGGAAUAAGCCCCGGCUAACUUCGUG
rnacentral:rRNA from 1 species